rnacentral:misc_RNA from 1 species
AAGUCGUAACAAGGUAUCCGUAGGUGAACCUGCGGAUGGAUCAUUAACACUACAAAAAAAACAAAACCUUGCUUUCCUAAAAACAAAGCAUAACCCCAUAACUUUGCGAACUUGUCAACGGGGAGGGGGAGGAGGAAGCAAUUUCUCCACCUCUCUUCCGUUCGUUUUUCUCCCUUUCUCACCGUUAUUUAUUAAACCCCAAAACAAAAACAACAAACAAAACUUGACUAAGACAAAAAACAAAUGAGAAAACAAAAUAAUACAACUUUUAACGACGGAUAUCUUGGCUCUC